AGAGGCACCCCUAUUUUGACCUGGAUGUGUUUGGUCUGGACAAGGCUGGUGAGGCAAGAGACCCUCGGAAAGGGACAGACAUUGCUUCCUGUCAUCUGGGCACAUGCAGAAAGCACACCAGCAAGAGAGCUUGGUGUGAGGAUCCUGCCAGGCUUCUGGCUAUUGGCUGCUGUGAACUCAAGGAACAUUCUCAGGAACCUGCUAUGAUUUCCAGCCUGCUGGUAGCUCUCACGGAUGCUCAUAAAGAGAGGAGAAGAUCCUGGACUUGAGAAACAUUGGGAGAAAAAUAAUGAAAACAGCCAAGGGAAGAAGCACAGAGGUCAGAGACCAGGACAUUGUUGCUGGGCAUGCAGGCUUCUGUGUCUUCUCCCUGUGGAUUUGUGGGGCCCUGGCAGCACUGCUUUCCUGACAUGCAGGGAGAACAAAUACUUCUGUAUUUAAGAUGGGGUUAUGUCCUGAUACAUCCAUCGUCAGCUGAAAAUACAUUUCAUCCUCCUGACCCGCUGAACAUCUUCACUUAGCCGCACAAUAUACCGUAGAAUGUUGGUCGCCUCCCCCCACACCCGUGAUCAUGGGCUGACUUAAAACUGUGAUCGCUGCUGCCACCCAGCAUCUCCAGAGAGGACUGGAUGUAAAGUGCUCAGGCGGUAUAUGGUACACAUAGAAAACAUUCAAUAAAUGCUUGUAACUACUGUAAUUAUUAUGACAACUUGCUAGAUUAAGAUUUUGGCUUUACCACAUGCUCACUGUAUGACCUUUCUCAGUCUUAGUAUCCUCACCUGUAAAAUAGGAGCAACAAUGCCUCUUCGUGAGGUUGUUAUAAAGAUUAAAUUUGUGUUCUGUUGCUUGCAUUUAGU